rnacentral:rRNA from 1 species
CGUAGGGUAACCUGCCUUAUAGUGGGGGAGUAGCCUUUCGAAAGGAAGAUUAAUACCGCAUAAGAUUGUAGUAUCGCAUGAUAUAGCAAUUAAAGGAGCAAUCCGCUAUAAGAUGGACCCGCGUCGCAUUAGCUAGUUGGUGAGGUGAUGGCUCACCAAGGCGACGAUGCGUAGCCGACCUGAGAGGGUGAUCGGCCACAUUGGGACUGAGACACGGCCCAGACUCCUACGGGAGGCAGCAUG